rnacentral:rRNA from 1 species
UACGAAGGGGGCGAGCGUUGUUCGGAUUUACUGGGCGUAAAGGGCGCGCAGGCGGUUCUGUUUGUCGAGUGUGAAAGCCCCGGGCUCAACCUGGGAACUGCGCUCGAAACGGCGGAACUAGAGUUCGGGAGAGGAGAGUGGAAUUCCCAGUGUAGAGGUGAAAUUCGUAGAUAUUGGGAAGAACACCGGUGGCGAAGGCGGCCCUCUGGACGGAUACUGACGCUGAGGCGCGAAAGCGUGGGGAUCAAACAGG